UCCUUCAGCGCUUGAGAUAUGCCUUGAGUGUUGAUCGCCAUUUCAUACGGCGUACCUUUUUUUUUUUUUUUUUCGAAUCAUAAGCCUUCCAGUCGUCACCGUUCGGCCACUUACGCAGCGUAAUUACCCUUACGUAUCCCUGCACAUACGUUUUCCUUGUGACGGAAUAAACAAGCAUGUCCAAUGUUCAAUGUGCUGGAAAGGUAACUUACUAGUAAUAAUUAUAUGAGAAUUGAUAAUGCUGCGUAAUAAGGCUCAAUAUCAAACAAAGUGUGGCAUGGCAUGGCAUGGUAUGGGAGGGGGCUGAUCGCACUACGUGACCCUGGCAGAGCACAUGGGUUAGCAUCCCGUCCUCGUUUCGGCCGCGCUCCGUCGGGGCCCUGGCUAGGGGGCUAGGGGAUGCCAAUGACAUUAUCAUCAUCAGGCUGCUUAGGCGGGAUACAAUCAUCAAGUCACUGCGCAAAGAUUUUGGCUUUUUGGUAUGAUGUGCCUACAGUACAUACGAUUUUCUGUGCGCUCUGUAAAGGGGUGUUUGUUAGGCCUUUCCCCCUAUAUUCCCCCCCCCCUUUCUUCUCUGCACCCACUUCACCCCGCUUUUUUGUUUUUAUGUUUAUUUAUUUUUAUUUUUUUUACGUUACUUUAUAUUUUUGGAUUGAUCACGCG
rnacentral:sRNA from 1 species